GGCUUAACACAUGCAAGUCGAGGGGCAGCAUGGUCUUAGCUUGCUAAGGCCGAUGGCGACCGGCGCACGGGUGAGUAACACGUAUCCAACCUGCCGUCUACUCUUGGACAGCCUUCUGAAAGGAAGAUUAAUACAAGAUGGCAUCAUGAGUCCGCAUGUUCACAUGAUUAAAGGUAUUCCGGUAGACGAUGGGGAUGCGUUCCAUUAGAUAGUAGGCGGGGUAACGGCCCACCUAGUCUUCGAUGGAUAGGGGUUCUGAGAGGAAGGUCCCCCACAUUGGAACUGAGACACGGUCCAAACUCCUACGGGAGGCAGCAGUGAGGAAUAUUGGUCAAUGGGCGAGAGCCUGAACCAGCCAAGUAGCGUGAAGGAUGACUGCCCUAUGGGUUGUAAACUUCUUUUAUAAAGGAAUAAAGUCGGGUAUGGAUACCCGUUUGCAUGUACUUUAUGAAUAAGGAUCGGCUAACUCCGUGCCAGCAGCCGCGGUAAUACGGAGGAUCCGAGCGUUAUCCGGAUUUAUUGGGUUUAAAGGGAGCGUAGAUGGAUGUUUAAGUCAGUUGUGAAAGUUUGCGGCUCAACCGUAAAAUUGCAGUUGAUACUGGAUAUCUUGAGUGCAGUUGAGGCAGGCGGAAUUCGUGGUGUAGCGGUGAAAUGCUUAGAUAUCACGAAGAACUCCGAUUGCGAAGGCAGCCUGCUAAGCUGCAACUGACAUUGAGGCUCGAAAGUGUGGGUAUCAAACAGGAUUAGAUACCCUGGUAGUCCACACGGUAAACGAUGAAUACUCGCUGUUUGCGAUAUACAGCAAGCGGCCAAGCGAAAGCGUUAAGUAUUCCACCUGGGGAGUACGCCGGCAACGGUGAAACUCAAAGGAAUUGACGGGGGCCCGCACAAGCGGAGGAACAUGUGGUUUAAUUCGAUGAUACGCGAGGAACCUUACCCGGGCUUAAAUUGCAGAUGAAUUACGGUGAAAGCCGUAAGCCGCAAGGCAUCUGUGAAGGUGCUGCAUGGUUGUCGUCAGCUCGUGCCGUGAGGUGUCGGCUUAAGUGCCAUAACGAGCGCAACCCUUGUUGUCAGUUACUAACAGGUCAUGCUGAGGACUCUGACAAGACUGCCAUCGUAAGAUGUGAGGAAGGUGGGGAUGACGUCAAAUCAACACGGCCCUUACGUCCGGGGCUACACACGUGUUACAAUGGGGGGUACAGAGGGCCGCUACCACGCGAGUGGAUGCCAAUCCCAAAAACCUCUCUCAGUUCGGACUGGAGUCUGCAACCCGACUCCACGAAGCUGGAUUCGCUAGUAAUCGCGCAUCAGCCACGGCGCGGUGAAUACGUUCCCGGGCCUUGUACACACCGCCCGUCAAGCCAUGGGAGCCGGGGGUACCUGAAGUGCGUAACCGCGAGGAGCGCCCUAGGGUAAAACUGGUGACUGGGGCUAA
rnacentral:rRNA from 1 species